GCCCCCGUAGCUCAUCUGGAUAGAGCGUCCCCCUCCUAAGGGGAAGGUCGCAGGUUCGACUCCUGCCGGGGACGCCA
rnacentral:tRNA from 1 species